rnacentral:rRNA from 1 species
GACGAACGCUGGCGGCGUGCUUAACACAUGCAAGUCGAACGGAAAGGCCCUGCUUUUGUGGGGUGCUCGAGUGGCGAACGGGUGAGUAACACGUGAGUAACCUGCCCUUGACUUUGGGAUAACUUCAGGAACCUGGGGCUAAUACCGGAUAGGAGCUCCUGCUGCAUGGUGGGGGUUGGAAAGUGUCGGCGGUUGGGGAUGGACUCGCGGCUUAUCAGCUUGUUGGUGGGGUAGUGGCUUACCAAGGCUUUGACGGGUAGCCGGCCUGAGAGGGUGACCGGCCACAUUGGGACUGAGAUACGGCCCAGACUCCUACGGGAGGCAGCAGUGGGGAAGAUUGCACAAUGGGCGGAAGCCUGAUGCAGCAACGCCGCGUGCGGGAUGACGGCCUUCUGGUUGUAAACCGCUUUCGCCUGUGACGAAGAGUGAGUGACGGUAACGGGUAAAGAAGCACCGGCUAACUACGUG